rnacentral:rRNA from 1 species
GAUGAACGCUGGCGGCGUGCCUAAUACAUGCAAGUCGAGCGAAUGGAUUAAGAGCUUGCUCUUAUGAAGUUAGCGGCGGACGGGUGAGUAACACGUGGGUAACCUGCCCAUAAGACUGGGAUAACUCCGGGAAACCGGGGCUAAUACCGGAUAACAUUUUGAAUCGCAUGGGUCGAAAUUGAAAGGCGGCUUCGGCUGUCACUUAUGGAUGGACCCGCGGCGCAUUAGCUAGUUGGUGAGGUAACGGCUCACCAAGGCAACGAUGCGUAGCCGACCUGAGAGGGUGAUCGGCCACACUGGGACUGAGACACGGCCCAGACUCCUACGGGAGGCAGCAGUAGGGAAUCUUCCGCAAUGGACGAAAGUCUGACGGAGCAACGCCGCGUGAGUGAUGAAGGCUUUCGGGUCGUAAAACUCUGUUGUUAGGGAAGAACAAGUGCUAGUUGAAUAAGCUGGCACCUUGACGGUACCUAACCAGAAAGCCACGGCUAACUACGUGCCAGCAGCCGCCGCCG